rnacentral:rRNA from 1 species
UACGUAGGGGGCAAGCGUUGUCCGGAUUCAUUGGGCGUAAAGAGCUCGUAGGCGGUUCGGCAAGUCGGGUGUGAAAACUCCAGGCUCAACCUGGAGACGCCACCCGAUACUGCUGUGACUUGAGUCCGGUAGGGGACCACGGAAUUCCUGGUGUAGCGGUGGAAAUGACGCAGAUAUCAGGAGGAACACCGGUGGCGAAGGCGGUGGUCUGGGCCGGCACUGACGCUGAGGAGCGAAAGCGUGGGGAGCGAACAGG